rnacentral:rRNA from 1 species
GCCCUUCGCAAAUUACCCACUCUCAGAACGGAGAGGUAGUGACGAAAAAUAACGAGACAGUCCUCUUCGAGGUCUAUCAUCGGAAUGGGUACAAUUUAAAUCCUUUAACGAGGAUCUAUUGGAGGGCAAGUCUGGUGCCAGCAGCCGCGGUAAUUCCAGCUCCAAUAGCGUAUAUUAAAGUUGUUGCGGUUAAAACGCUCGUAGUUGGAUCUGCGGCCUCGGAGAACGGUCCCCCGAAAGGGUGGUCACUGUCUCUCCUAGCCUAAAUUCGAGUCGUCUCUAGGUGCUCUUUACCGGGUGCUUAGAGUGACUAGAACGUUUACUUUGAAAAAAUUAGAGUGCUUAAAGCAGGCGAAAUAGCCUGAAUAAGGUGCAUGGAAUAAUGGAAUAGGACCUCGGUUCUAUUUUUGUUGGUUUUCGGAACCCGAGGUAAUGAUUAAGAGGAACAGACGGGGGCAUUCGUAUUCCGGCGCUAGAGGUGAAAUUCUUUGNACCGCCGGAAGACGGACNACUGCNAAAGCAUUUCCAAGANUGUUUUCAUUNAUCAAGAACGAAAGUUAGAGGUUCCAAGGCGAUCAGNUACCGCCCUANUUUUAACCCGUAAACGAAUGACAACCAGCCGAUUAAUCGGGCGUUNAUUUUUGACCCGAUUAAGCCACCUUCCCGGGAAACCCAAAGUUUUUCUNUUUCCCGGGGGAAANNUUNNUUGCAAAU